CAAGCUGCUGCAACUGCUGGUUGGGAAUCGGCUGUGUGACCUUCUGCAGGAGUUGGAUUACAUCGUCUUGUUUUUGAAGAAAAGACUGGUCGGCUGGAACAAGUUCACAUAUUCAUUUGAUGUGAAGAAACAUAACGGUGGCACUUAAGGCUACCAGAGCCAACAGGACUACUAAGCACCUCAUCGUGGAAUGCAGUGAUGUGGUGCGAUGCUGACUGCAUAUUCGGCCAGUCUUUUAUACCCGAAUACUAUCGAAGAAGAGGUUUAUCGACGACCUGUCGACCCACCCCCCUUCGAUACUACCCGCGAUAUCCUUUGCUAUUUCGAAUAUAUUCGAUACAGCCAAUCGAAGAUUGGUACGUGCAUGUGUGCAAUGAUACGUAUUGUAAUAAAAAUUCAAUGUCCCCCGUCGAGAAAUUUUUAUUUGCCAUUUUGAUGCUUCGCGUUUCUCCGAAAUAAAUAGCUUCUCUAAUUGAAAA